UGAUUGGAUCUCGAUAUUGAGGUUCUUGAUUCAAUCGCACCUCAUUGAUGGUAGCAGUCAAAGCUCGAAGAGCAGCAGCCUGUUCAUCCAACUGUUGUUGGAAUUUUUUAAAUAUGUCACCAUUAUUAUCACCUGUAGACAUUUUUUUUAAAACCUGCAAAACACUCAACACUCAAAAAUAAAAGUUAUCAAACCUCACCGUUAAUCACUCAAAAAGAAAAAAUCAAAUUCUCAAUGAGGUCGAAUUCAAUCUUGUGAGUUCUUUAUCAGAGUUUAUAUCAACCAAUUAGAGAGUGUGAACCAAACUACCAAAGAAUCUUAAUUUGCACUAGGAUGCCAAAAACUGACGAGACACCAAUUGAUUCGUGUUGCACCGAGGAAGAAGUUGUGCACACGUGUAAAUCCUACUAACACAAGAAACAAGAAGGUGUUAGAUAACGUAACGGAAGAAUAAA
rnacentral:lncRNA from 1 species